UUCUGACCCCAAGGCACCCAGUACCUUCCAUAGUGCUUGCUGUCAUCCCUACUACUAUUGUCUGCUCACUACUUCUCUACUGGUCACAGAGAAAGCCAUAAAAAGAUGUUGAACAACAGCUGUAAUGGGCCCAAUCCAAUGAUGGCAAAAGGUGAAUAAAAUUACUCCCUCUGGGAAGUAAAAUGCUCAUUUAGUGGAGGGAAAUUAUCAUUUCCAAGUAGAACAUUUGGCUUCCUGAGAGUGAAAGUGUCGGCACAGCUUGAUAAUAACAAAGCUCAAGAUCAGUGAUGCUUACAGUUCAGAUAUGCCAAGGAGAAGCUCUAAAGUGCUUCCUUUAAGUGAAAAAUUGAAAGUUCUUGAUUUAAUAAGGGAAGGAAAACAAUCAUAUAUUGAGAUUACUAAGAUCUAUGGUAAGAAUGAAUCAUAGCUUAGUGUGAAUGGAAUAUUGAAUUAGUCAGCUUUCACUGUUGUGGUUCAGUAACAGCCCCACCGUGUCAGUAGAUUAUUACAAUAAAGGCCCACAUCUCACUCUUGUUGCUGGUGAUGUGCUAUUGGGUUGUGCUGCUUCUCCCCAAGUCUCCAUUUCAGGACUAAGCCAGGAAGAGCAGUUCCUAAAUGAAAAUGCCAUUCUUGUGAUAGAAGAAAAAGAAAGAAGUAGCUGAACCACACACAAUAGCUGAAGCUCUUUGGCUCAUAUUCCAUUGGUUAAUCAAGCAUGUGGCCAUGGUCAUCAUGGGUAGAGCAGGGAAGUAUCCUGCUCUCCUAGGGGGCACUACAAGUCACAUAGCAAUGGGCAGAUAUGUUAUAGUUCUCUUAAAGGGAGAGCAGAGACUAACUAGGAACAGUAAUAUAUUCUACCAGGUAAGAAUGAGAGGAGGUGAGUGGUAUGAGAAGGUUUUUGGAAAUAAUUAGGAACUAGGUUAUGUGUUUUAUAGAAUAUAUUAAAGCCUUUAGGUGCAAUUCAUUACUCCUUUCCAUUGUGUACUCAUUAUUUGGUCCUACGCGUCCUACUCAAAAUCUGCUUUUGGAAAACAAUAAUAAUAACAACAGUGACAAGCAAAACAAAAACCAAGAAAGAUAAUGUCAUUACACACUAAAGUACAAAUUAUCCUUUAUACAGUACUUAUAUCUUUACAGAAACAAAGGAAAUAAUCAGUUGUAGAGUGGCAGUCACUAAUGUACUAGUGAAGGGUGAAUUUUGAUUCCAUCUAUGGAAAAAGAUAUUUCUUGGGGUUUUGGAAAUCAUACCUUGCUGACUUUUAAGUAUUGCCCUACUAUUAAGACCAAUCCAUAAAUAUUUACUGAUUGCAUUCUACACUUUAAGAACUGUGAUUGCUGAAUUCUCAUCUUCAAAAUUCAGUCAAGAUGAAUGAAAGGCAGCCUGAUAGAGUGAAAAAAGCAUGAAUCCUGUCCUCCGGCAGACCUGCAUUUGACCAAAUUA
rnacentral:lncRNA from 10 species